rnacentral:lncRNA from 1 species
CAGGGCUCAGGAAGCAGCUAAAGAGAUGAGGCAGGCGCUUUGAAUUCUUGGACAAGAACCACAGCAAUGCUGGGUCAACAGCACUUUAAAACAAUCUGUCUUUUUAAAGCAAAGCUAUGAACUUUAAAAUCAGAACAUGCAAUUGAGAGACAAAGGCGACUAUGUCUCUCAUUUAGGGCAUUUGUUCCAUUUACAGCUAAGCCAUGGUGCCCUCUGCCAGCCUUUGGAUGGCCUUGACCUUCACAGACUUGGAAGGGGUUCUCUUCAUCCCUACCCUGCCCUGCCCCUCCCCAACCUUAGUUUCCCUUAG